AACGAACGCUGGCGGCAUGCCUAACACAUGCAAGUCGAACGAGACCUUCGGGUCUAGUGGCGCACGGGUGCGUAACGCGUGGGAACCUGCCUUUAGGUUCGGAAUAACUCAGAGAAAUUUGAGCUAAUACCGGAUGAUGUCUUCGGACCAAAGAUUUAUCGCCCUUAGAUGGGCCCGCGUUGGAUUAGCUAGUUGGUGGGGUAAAGGCCUACCAAGGCGACGAUCCAUAGCUGGUCUGAGAGGAUGAUCAGCCACACUGGGACUGAGACACGGCCCAGACUCCUACGGGAGGCAGCAGUGGGGAAUAUUGGACAAUGGGCGAAAGCCUGAUCCAGCAAUGCCGCGUGAGUGAUGAAGGCCUUAGGGUUGUAAAGCUCUUUUACCCGAGAUGAUAAUGACAGUAUCGGGAGAAUAAGCUCCGGCUAACUCCGUG
rnacentral:rRNA from 1 species